UACGGAGGGAGCAAGCGUUACUCGGAAUUAUUGGGCGUAAAGGGCGCGUAGGCGAUUUGAAAAGUCUUGUGUGAAAGCCCCGAGCUUAACUCGGGAAGUGCACAAGAAACUGUUGAAUUUGAGUUCCGGAGAGGAAGGCAGAAUUCCCGGUGUAGCGGUGAAAUGCGUAGAUAUCUGGAGGAAUACCGGUGGCGAAAGCGGCUCACUGGAUCGAAACUGACGCUGAGGUGCGAAAGCUAGGGUAGCAAACGGG
rnacentral:rRNA from 1 species